rnacentral:rRNA from 1 species
UACAGAGGGUGCAAGCGUUGCUCGGAAUUAUUGGGCGUAAAGGGUAGGUAGGUGGUCUUAUUUGUCUGGGGUGAAAGCCUCGAGCUUAACUCGAGAAGUGCCCCAGAAACGGUAAGACUAAAGUCUUGGAGAGGGUCGUGGAAUUCCCGGUGUAGCGGUGAAAUGCGUAGAGAUCGGGAGGAACACCAGAGGCGAAGGCGGCUAACUGGACAAGUACUGACACUCAACUGCGAAAGCGUGGGGAGCAAACAGG